AGCGAACGCUGGCGGCAGGCCUAACACAUGCAAGUCGAACGAACUCUUCGGAGUUAGUGGCGGACGGGUGAGUAACACGUGGGAACGUGCCUUUUGGUUCGGAAUAACUCAGGGAAACUUGUGCUAAUACCGAAUGUGCCCUUCGGGGGAAAGAUUUAUCGCCAUUAGAGCGGCCCGCGUCUGAUUAGCUAGUUGGUGAGGUAACGGCUCACCAAGGCGACGAUCAGUAGCUGGUCUGAGAGGAUGACCAGCCACACUGGGACUGAGACACGGCCCAGACUCCUACGGGAAGCAGCAGUGGGGAAUCUUGCGCAAUGGGCGAAGGCCUGACGCAGCCAUGCCGCGUGAAUGAUGAAGGUCUUAGGAUUGUAAAAUUCUUUCACCGGGGACGAUAAUGACGGUACCCGGAGAAGAAGCCCCAGCUAACUUCGUG
rnacentral:rRNA from 1 species